rfam:Galerina marginata CBS 339.88 GALMAscaffold_7_Cont267, whole genome shotgun sequence.
UUACCACUCUGGCCUUUUGGCUUAGAUCAAGUGUAGUAUCUGUUCUUAAUAGUUUAACCACUAUUAUGGAGGCACCGCCUCCAUUCUUGGUUAUCUUAUUUUUGCCGCCCCAGAUCCUUGGGCUCUGCUUGCACCCCUCGGACGCGAUGACCUUGCCGCUGCACUACUGGCUUGUGUCGUCGGGGGAUC